AGAAGAGGACAGUGGAACUCCCAUGUGUAGCGGUGAAAUGCGUAGAUAUAUGGAAGAACACCAGUGGCGAAGGCGGCUGUCUGGUCUGUAACUGACGCUGAGGCUCGAAAGUAUGGGUAGCAAACAGGAUUAGAUACCCUGGUAGUCCAUACCGUAAACGAUGAAUGCUAAGUGUUGGAGGGUUUCCGCCCUUCAGUGCUGCAGCUAACGCAUUAAGCAUUCCGCCUGGGGAGUACGGCCGCAAGGCUGAAACUCAAAGGAAUUGACGGGGGCCCGCACAAGCGGUGGAGCAUGUGGUUUAAUUCGAAGCUACGCGAAGAACCUUACCAGGUCUUGACAUACUAUGCAAAUCUAAGAGAUUAGACGUUCCCUUCGGGGACAUGGAUACAGGUGGUGCAUGGUUGUCGUCAGCUCGUGUCGUGAGAUGUUGGGUUAAGUCCCGCAACGAGCGCAACCCUUAUUAUCAGUUGCCAGCAUUAAGUUGGGCACUCUGGUGAGACUGCCGGUGACAAACCGGAGGAAGGUGGGGAUGACGUCAAAUCAUCAUGCCCCUUAUGACCUGGGCUACACACGUGCUACAAUGGAUGGUACAACGAGUUGCGAACUCGCGAGAGUAAGCUAAUCUCUUAAAGCCAUUCUCAGUUCGGAUUGUAGGCUGCAACUCGCCUACAUGAAGUCGGAAUCGCUAGUAAUCGCGGAUCAGCAUGCCGCGGUGAAUACGUUCCCGGGCCUUGUACACACCGCCCGUCACACCAUGAGAGUUUGUAACACCCAAAGUCGGUGGGGUAACCUUUUAGGAACCAGCCGCCUAAGGUGGGACAGAUGAUUAGGGUGAAGUCGUAANCAAGGUAGCCGUA
rnacentral:rRNA from 1 species